rnacentral:rRNA from 1 species
GACGGGGCCCGGCACAAGCGGUGGAGUAUGUGGUUAAUUCGAUGCAACGCGAAGAACCUUACCUGGUCUUGACAUCCCGGAGACCCUUAGGAAACUAGGGGGUGCUUCCAUCUGGAAGAAUCUGGAGACAGGUGCUGCAUGGCUGUCGUCAGCUCGUGUCGUGAGAUGUUGGGUUAAGUCCCGCAACGAGCGCAACCCUUGCCUUUAGUUGCCAGCAGUUCGGCUGGGCACUCUAAAGGGACUGCCGGUGUUAAACCGGAGGAAGGUGGGGAUGACGUCAAGUCCUCAUGGCCUUUAUGACCAGGGCUACACACGUACUACAAUGGCCGAUACAAAGGGCAGCGACACUGCGAGGUGAAGCCAAUCCCGUAAAAUCGGUCUCAGUCCGGAUUGGAGUCUGCAACUCGACUCCAUGAAGUUGGAAUCGCUAGUAAUCGUGGAUCAGCAUGCCACGGUGAAUACGUUCCCGGGCCUU